rnacentral:hammerhead_ribozyme from 1 species
AGUCAUCUGAAGAGUCCCAAAUAGGACGAAACGCGUGUCCUGGAU